rnacentral:snRNA from 1 species
CAAUGUGAGAGCGAUCUGGCUGCAACAUGUCACCCUAUUGACUGCCAGGAUUGAUUCAGCUGAUCUGGCUGGCUAGGCAAGUGUCCCAUUACUCCCUCACCACUCCAAGUGCAUCCCUCCCAAAGAUGUGCAUUCGGUUGAAGAGGAUGCCUAUUCCUUCAGCCAAGGGUAUACAAGUCUUCAGCCAAGGUUAUACAAGUAGCUGCAGUCCCCUGCUAGAACCUCCAAACAAGCUCUCAAAAAUAUUCAUAAAAAGAAAUAAAAAUUAAUACAAGAAUUAAAAUAAUAAAAAUGU